AGACUACUACUCUAAUGGAAAUAUAUAUGAAACUAUUCAAGAUUCUAUCAAGAGAGAACCGGAUUAUUUAAUCAUUGUUGAUGCUCCACCAACAAGAAUGGAUUCAACUGACUCACAUUAUGUAAAUGUAAAACGUUAAAGACUUGAUGAACUCAACCCUGUCUGAAAAUCUGGGGUGUGUGUGUAUUAAACUGUCUCACAAUUCGACAUGCAUGGCAAAUCAGACCAAACAAAUCUGGCAGAAAAACUACAACUGUUAUUCAGGGAGUGCUAGUUGUAAAACAGUUCACUGAGAGAAAUGAGGAAUUUUGUUACACACACCAGUUUAAAAUAAAAUUAUAUUUAAAAAAAGAAUAAA